rnacentral:rRNA from 1 species
AGAGUUUGAUCCUGGCUCAGGAUGAACGCUAGCUACAGGCUUAACACAUGCAAGUCGAGGGGAAACGAUAUUGGAAGCUUGCUUCUGAUAGGCGUCGACCGGCGCACGGGUGAGUAACGCGUAUCCAACCUGCCCACCACUUGGGGAUAACCUUGCGAAAGUAAGACUAAUACCCAAUGAUAUCUCUAGAAGACAUCUGAAAGAGAUUAAAGAUUUAUCGGUGAUGGAUGGGGAUGCGUCUGAUUAGCUUGUUGGCGGGGUAACGCCACCAAGGCGACGAUCAGUAGGGUUCUGAGAGGAACGGUCCCCCANAUUGGAACUGAGACACGGUCCAAACUCCUACGGGAGCA